rnacentral:misc_RNA from 1 species
AACGCAAAUGGCGCCAGCGGGAAACCGCUGGCAUGCCUGUCUGAGUGUCAUUUUUCCUACCUUGCUCUUCGGCGUGCCCGGGUUAACACCGGGGGGCGCGGAACACAGCAGUACUGAGGCGUCUCGCCGUCACUGGCGCGUCCCUUGAAAAAUGGCGACGGCGGUGCUUCUUCACCGGAGCGCUGACUCCCUCACUCCGCAAAACAAGUCGAAGGUUUCUCACAGAACCUGCCUACUUGCUGCGUGUGUCGAAUUCGCAAGAACUUUUCUCACGUUUCAGCUCGUUGGCUUUGGGUUCGCCGAACCUUGGGCUGGAGGGGAGGGCCGUCUGUUGAACAAAACCUUAUCAACCUUGACCUCAGAUCAGACAAGACUACCCGCUGAAUUUAA